rfam:Drosophila sechellia strain Rob3c scaffold_26 genomic scaffold, whole genome shotgun sequence.
CCAUGGCCAACACUUAAGGUAGGGAGUGCAAACUGGCUUCACAUCCUGCUCAUCAAAGUCAUAUCUUGACUGGCAGUCCCGAUGAGCGAGUAAGGCACACGGAGGUUUUUGUUUUAGUACGUAGGCAUAGUUCCACUAGGGAUUAUGAAUCGUGCAUGCCACAUAUGGACGGUAGGUGGUAUCUUUAGAAGAUUAUAAUUUCCGUAC